UACAGAGGAGCCAAGCGUUGUCCGGAUUGACUGGGCGUAAAGCGCACGCAGGCGGGUUCGCGCGUGGGGGGUGAAAUCUGGCCGCUUAACGGCCAGGCGCCAUCCCAUACGGCGCGCCUGGAGCCUUGCAGAGGUCGGUGGAAUUGCCGGUGUAGUGGUGAAAUGCGUAGAUAUCUGGAGGAACACCGGUGGCGAAGGCGGCAUCCUGGACCAACACUGACGCUGAGGAGCGAAAGCCAGGGGAGCAAACGGG
rnacentral:rRNA from 1 species